UACGGAGGGGGCUAGCGUUGUUCGGAAUUACUGGGCGUAAAGCGCACGUAGGCGGCUUUGCAAGUUAGAGGUGAAAGCCCGGGGCUCAACUCCGGAAUUGCCUUUAAAACUGCAUCGCUAGAAUUGUGGAGAGGUAAGUGGAAUUCCGAGUGUAGAGGUGAAAUUCGUAGAUAUUCGGAAGAACACCAGUGGCGAAGGCGGCGACCUGGGCCAAUAUUGACGCUGAGGUGCGAAAGCGUGGGGAGCAAACAGG
rnacentral:rRNA from 1 species